GGGAAAGCCGGUCCAAGUCCGGCGCUGACCCGCAACCGUAGGCCCCCGUGAGGGUGGCGAGCCGGACC
rnacentral:ncRNA from 1 species